UCCUUCCCUCCCUCCUCCCCGGACAGGAAGCGUCUACGUAUACGUGCAUACAUAUGUAUCUAUGCAUGCAUAUAACCACACGCCAGGCCUCUUCCUCUAGUUCGUUUUUCUUCUCUUUCGUGCCCUGGCUUUCGUAGUCUCUCUCGCUCUUUCUCUCACGCCCACCCCGAGCGGCACAGCCUGUGCUAGACCUCGACAUCCAUCAGCUGCCCAUCCCGCUCCGCCGCCGUGCUGCAUAUAUGACAAACCCCUUUCUCGCGUUCUCCCUUCUCUCGUUGCCUUUCCACCUUGUUGCUGCCUUCUCCAUCGAGCUCACGCACCCACUAACAGACACACGCACGCACGUUCGCACGGACGAGGUGGCGGCAGCAGUUAUGUGCAUUUUACAGUUUCACGUGACUGUAUCGUCGUCGCUUCGUCUCUUGAAGCUCUCUCUCCACACCCCACUGCCUUCUCCCGCUUUUCCACCUACCGCACGCUGUUCUCUGUGUUGACCAUCAUCAUCCUUUGUUUUCCUUCUUCUAUGUAUGUGUAUGCGCGUGCCUGUGUUUGCAUGUUGGUACGCUGCUUGGGUGUGGGUAACGCCCGUGACAUCAUCUCUUUGCAUCGCAUUUACAUGCCUGGUUGCUUGAGCAGGCUUCGAAUGUGUGCUUGCGUGUGCGUGUCUCAUGUGCAUGCUUACUUGUGUAUGUACAGUGCGGCAUUUGUUGGUUGACUAAUUCGCUUGUGUGCGGAGCCACACCCACACCCACACACACACACGCACGCAUCUCUUACACAUACAGCACAUCCACGGUCGUCAAGUAGCUGCUUCUUCUGCCUCUCUCCCUCUUUUUUUUUGUCUUUGUUUCGACGUCUUCCUUCUCUGCUUCCUGCUCCCUCGCUCUACACACCGUGCGUCGAGCACUCAUCUAUUCUCCCCUUCCCUAGCUCCUGUACACCGCUGUCGCGACCACCACCACCACCGCUGCUGCAUCUGGCGUGCACCGCUUGCCGGGGGCCCUCCAUGUAGUGGUGGUGCUGCGUAUCUUUUUUUCCUUUCGUGCGUUUGAUUGUCUGCCGUGCCAAGCCCCUCCUCGCUCAUCUCGACUCUCUCUCGCUCACUGCAUGUGCAUCUCUUCGUUGGUGUCUCUCCUACUCUUCUCUCGUUUCGAAUUCGUUUGUGUGCUCUUGUCUUGCCUUCAUCUCUUUGGUGGCCGGCGCGUCUCCCUUUUCCUUCACGCCCCCACCAUCAUCUUCGUGUGCACUCCUGCUCAGCUCUUCUAUUGCCGCUGCAGUGUGUGCGUGUGUGUGUACGUGUGGAAGGGAGGGGGUCUGUCUCUUCCCGCCAAUCGCCUCCCACCACCCGCCGCCAGAGACGCGCUCGUAUUUGCGAUACAACCUCGACCCCCCCCCCCCCCCCCAGCCGUUCUUGCGCUUCUUCCCUGCUCUGAAACGGUGCGUGUGCCCUCCGAAGCUACGGUGGCGCUGGUGUCGAAGCACGAAGAGGCCGGCACCGUCGCUGCUGUCUCGCCUUCGAUACCGUCGUCUCUCUCAGUCGCGUCAUCAAGUCACAAGGAGAUGCGAGAGGAACCGCGGCGGCGCCGAGCCGAGGUCGCCGAAGACGUGCGCGUUCAGCAACAUCGAGCCACGUCGGUGCCCACGUCCCCGCUGACGCCGCCGCUUCUGCUCCAGCGGAAUCGAGAGGUAGUGGCGCUGGGCAACUACACAUCGAGAGGGGUCGAGGGGUCUGACGAAGGCAGCGUGAGCACGACCGUCACCUCCAACGUGACUGACCGUGCUGGGCCCGCGGGAAACUGCAAGAGCGGAACUCUCCACUCCAGCAGCUCCCGCGUACUGGACUUGACGCCAUUUGCUGAGAGCGCCGAGGACGACCGGGACGACCGCGGGAGCAAGUGGGACCGCACCGCCGCUUUCGGCAUCCCCGCGCCAGCGACCUUGCGCAUAUCGACCUACCGCACGACUGCUGACAUCACUACCGAUCGCACGAGGAACAGCAAAAACAGCAGCAGCACUUGCUUGCAUCUUGGAGAUGCGUGGCAGGAGCGGGAGAAGAGCUCGCCAGAUGCAAACACAGCUGCGAUCCUCACAGCGGGAAUGACGCCGCCUUUCUCAAUCUCUCUCUCGUCCGACUCGUUGUCGUGCGCUAUGCCGAGCGUGAGGAGAUCCUCCCCCGAGCUGGUGAGACGCGGGAACGGCACGACACGACAGCUCUCUCGCAAGUGUCUACGGAACGCAAAUUCGGCGUGCGGUGAUAGCGGUCGCUGCACUGGACCUGUGGCGCGCACCACUACGCCGACGACGGCACCGUCUACCGCCCUUCUCUCUUCCUCUUACGUGGCCUGCUUCCAGGGCCACAACGCCAUGCCCAUCAGUGACAAGGACGGGGACAGCUCGCUGCGUCUCCGUCCGCGCCGAUGCCGCGGCGGCAGCAGCUGCGGCUCGUACGAGCACUGGACCAUGAAGCCGCGACUUAGCGGCGUCAACGAGGUUCUGCUACAGAGUGCAUCUGCAUCCGGCGAGCCUCAGCUAUUCCGCCAGGCGCUCGCUGCCUUUCAGCUGUGGGACACCCUACUGCGCCUGGAGCUGCACAGCAACAGCGCAGGCGGCACGUACAUGGUGCGACUUGCAAGGCCGUCGUCCUCAUCGGCGACGGCGACUUUCGCGGCGACCGACAGCGACAGCCAUGGCGCCGUGGUGGCUGUGUUCAAGCCAUGCGAUGAGGAAAUCGGCCAGGAGAGCAACCCACACGCGAAUCGUGAAAGCGACCGCACGGAGACAUUUGCCCCCGGCAGCGGCAGCCGGCGUGAGGUGCUCGCGUACCUCCUCGAUCACGGACACAACGCCGGGGUGCCGCCGACGCUGGAGGUGGCAUCGACCUACUGGGCCGGGGUGGGUGCGACAACAGCCAACAGCAACGGGGGUGGUGGUGCUGCUACCGCGAGCUUGUCCACAGGCACACUGGGCGCGGUGGCAGGAGGUGGAGAUGCCCCUGCGAACAGCGGCCUUCGGAGUUCACGCACGGGUGGGACAGACUGGAGAGGUAUCGGCGCUGACGAUGGCGACAGCGUUGCCGCUCGAGUGGCAGCAUCUACGCACCUCCGGAUCGGCAGCUUGCAGCUUUUCGUGCCUGGCUGUGAAGAGGCCGCGGACGUUCUCCCCGGCCACUUCGACGUCGACGAGGUGCACGCGCUUGCCAUCUUCGACAUCCGCACCCUGAACGGCGACCGACACGGCGGCAACGUACUUGUCUGCAACUAUCACCGCUGCCGCGACGGAAGAAAGCCCGUCAUGGCACGUCGUCCGCGGUGCGCCCGCCUAGCUAACGCUGCGGGGAGCGACGGGACUGCAUCGUCGCCUUCGGCGUCUUCGACAGCGGCCCGAUUGUCACCUGAGAUGCCCGCGACCAUCACCACGGCCAAGGAAGACGUUCCGCAUUUGAUCCCGAUCGACCACAGCUAUAUCUGUCCGUCCGGCUACGCCGAUCCGGACUACGAGUGGCUGUCAUGGCCCCAAUCCAAGAAGCCGUUUUCGGAGCGCAAUCUGAACUACAUCGCCGCCCUGGACGCAGUGGCAGAUGCGGAGCUGGUGCGAUCAGCGCUCCUCGCACACAGCGGCGUCCCCACCCACGAUGUGUCGACGCCGCGAACAAGCGCAGUCUGCAAUGACUUUGAGAUGGCGGAGGGGCAGCCAGACGCUGCGCUGACGUCGCUGACGCGCGAUGAUGCUCAGUAUGCCAGAGCAGCCAUGGGCUGUGCGACGGUUGACGCAGCGAGUGCAGCGCUCGCGUCGCGUCACCUUCCGCGGGAGUUUUUCGGCCGGGGUGCUGCCGCCGCGAGCUUGGACGAUCUCACGGGGCUCCCGCCUCUGCCGACGGCGUCGACCAAAAGAGCGGUGGCGCCGACAACCAGUGCGGCUGCAGCACCCUGCGCGUCUGGGGCUGCAACCGCGAAGAAAAGCAGCACCAUGGAUGGUGGCGCUGAGGCCCCCUCCGGCCAUCCGUAUGUGAGCACUUGGGAUCCAGCAGCUGUAGAGCUGAUGAUCAAUUUCGAUCGAGGCGAUAGUUUGAGCACGGAGGCGAUGCACAAAGACGCUGCUGCUGUCCGUGCUCGUGCAAUGUCGACUGCGUGGUCGGCGUCUUCGUCCUCCUCCACUCCACCCCUUGAAUCCUUGCAUGCCGGACCACGCGAGCAUGCAUCCAACUCUGUCGCGUACGACAGGGACGCGGCCAACACGGCGGCAGAGGUGACGUGCUGCACGACGCGCCUGCUACAGAUCGCAGCCCUUGAGUUUCACAUGACGGCGUACGAGAUCGGAAGUCUGUGCCGGCGCCCGCGCGUCACGCAGGCGUCGGUGCUGGAGGAAGUCCUCGAACAGGCGAGAGAUGAACAGACGUGGGAGCCGGUCUGGUUCAGGCUCGACGAUGUUGUCCGGCAGCGGCUCGCUGACCUCAGCACGUCUGGCCAGUAACGAGUCUGAGGCCUUCGAAUCACGCGUUUGUGGGCGUGCCGAACAGCCGCCCCUGCCAGCGCUCGUGUCGUGCCUGCUGACCCAUCUAUCAACAUCCUCGCCGACAUAUUGUCUCUCCAUCUCUCUCUUGCACUGUUUUCUUUGUAUUCUCCGUUGCACCGUAGGUUUCUAUCCCGGUGCGUGAGAAGGCGUGCGACAAGAGGGGAAGAGGGAAGGGGCGGGCUGCACUCAAACUUCUUGCACCCCCAAAAGAAACUGAGCACCACACCCACGUGCAUCAGCAUCUGUGUCCUUCUCUUCCACAUCGGGUAUGCCGGUCUUCCUCUCCCCGCUCUCCUCGCACCACUUAUCGCUUCCUCCCUCGUUGAUCCUUAUUGUCGAACCGCUUUUCUGCACGCGUGUGUAUGCGUGUGUGUGUGUGUGUCUGCACCACCCCCGCUUCUUCUCUUUCGUUUUUUCUCUGCCCACCCCCAUCACCUUUCUACUGCUGGCCUCCCAUACCGCUGUGUAGCAUCUUGCUCGUCUUGCAGCUGCUUCGCGCGAUCCGUUACCCUCCCCGACCCUGCCGCUACCUGAACUUUCUUCUGUCGCUGCUUUCUCGUCUCUCAUGGACUACACUCUGUCCUUCAGCGCCCCUCCGCCUUUACGUCGAGCGAGCUAGAGGUGAUGGCGUACACCCGACACUGCCCAUACGUUUUUUUUUUAAUGUCUCUUUUUUGUUGUCUAGGGAUGAUCCUCGACGCGUGUGAGGGGCGCAGAACAUUCUAAGGAGCGUCUUUGUGUGUCUGUGUGCUGGCAAACAUGUCUCAUCAUCUCGAUCCCUCAUCCCCAGCCCCUUCCGUCUGUCUCUCUCUCCCGGGGGGGGGAGGGAGGUAGGGAGACAUGCGUACCAGAUAUGGUAAUACCGCUUUUUCUGCUUCUUCGGCCCCCCCUGCCGGCGAGUGGGCACACACCUCCGUGCGUGGCGUCUCACGGUCCCGUACCUCCCCCUCCCCCACUCUGUGGCGAAAGUCAGGCAGCCCCCCACCCCUACCCCUGCCAGUGCCGAGCCGCUUCCGGUGGUGACAGGGUCAGGUGCCUACCCCACAGGGGAGGCCAGCGCGACUCCUGUCCGCAGCCAGGCCCUGGACGGCGUGCUGCUGGAGCGGCCGGCGACUGUGAAGGCGCUUGUGCCGUCCGCGCGAUGGGCCGAGCGUCAGCGCGGCUCGCGCGCACGCCACCCGGUGCUCGCUGCCUGCUGGCGGGGAGCCUUUAUGCGACCCCGAGGGGGUGCACCCGGUGGCGGCGGGCGGGUGGGUGGAUGGGGGGGCACAAUGGGCGCGGCUGCGAGGCGGCCUGCGGGGCGCGGGUGGUGUGCCGACGUUGAGGCGGAGGCCGCGCCCCGGCGACUGUGGCGGUGCAUUGCUGGGAGGCGUGUGUGUCCCGCUGCUUCGCGCCGCGCGAUGACGGUUCUGUGUGGCCGGGCCGGGGGCCAGAGUGGUGGUGGUGGUGGGGGUGGCUGGGCUCGUGCUCCAUGGCGGCGAAUGACCGCGUUGAAAAGCGAAUCGUUGUUUGCGGCCAUCAUUGCCUGCGCAUGUGUUGCUGACGUCUCUCUACCGCCCAGCGUCUCUUUCUCCCCCGCAGCUGUGCUUCAAUAUCUGUGCGUGUUUUGGCGUCUGCGUGCUGCGGACUCCCCACGCCUCCCUCCCCUCCCUCUGUAGCCGCUCGGCAUGACGGCAUGCGGUGGUGUGGGCAGGGUGGUGGAAGAGAGCAAGGCAGAGGGAGCGGGAAGGAGAAGGCGACGACUGCCUUGCAUUAUAGUAGCACGAUUUCGUGUGUGUGUUUAUGGCGCCAAUGUGAUGGCGGCUCGUUGCAAAGGGGGAAGGGGCGGGUGGUUGAGGGGCGGAAGAUGCUGCGCAUUUACGCGUGGGCGAAACUUGAAGGGGCUGAAAGUCUUAACUUGGAUGGGUGUGUUUGUGUGCAUCAGGGCGAGGUGGGGAGCGGGCAGUGAGAUGCACUGUGAAAUGGACGGCAAACACGCCCUCUCCAUCACCGCCCCAUCUACUCGCACACAUCGACGCUCACCUUUGCUUCAUUUCUGUUCGAUCGAAACCGUCAC
rnacentral:misc_RNA from 1 species